GCCUGCGUGCAGGGUGGCUCUGCUGUGAACAGGAACCCGGAGGUGCCCCAGCACGGUGGCUCUCAGCAGUGGCUUCCGUGGUGCUCAGUGGUGUGCUGGCCCACAAAAUCCAAAUAGCGCCUUCACAGUGUAAGAAGUGCUUCUGAUGCUGGCGUAGGGGCAUGACGCCAGAUUCCUUAGAAAAUGGAAUGAUCUUGAGCGGGUGUGUCUCAGAGGCCUGAGCGCUUCACUCUGGGCAUCCAAAGCCAGGAGUUGGCUCCAGCUAGAGUCCAGACAGCAGCAGAGGUGAAGUUCCCUGUCACACAGUCACAGGCUAGAACUCAGUCACAUCCACGCCUGACUGCGAGCGGGACUGGAAAGUGCCCCGAGGAAACUCCAGGACUCCAACGCCAAGUAAAGGGAGCGUAGAUAUUAGACAGGUAAAGGAGAUGAGCAGCGUUGCUCUGGUACGCAGAGAAGCUUCCAGACACUCCUGGGUUGCACGAUAGAUUAAGUAAUUCUACUGAUGGGCACCAGCUCCAUGCCAGGACCCAGGGCUCCAAAGCCAUUUCCAGGAUAAAUGCAGGCUCUGAGAGCGAGUGCCACGGAUGACUCCUCCAUGGCCGCACUUUCUUCACAUUGGCUCCUGUGAGCUUCCUCAACGCUUUCGAAGCUGGCCCCGCUUCUGUCCACUCUGCAGAGUGAACGUUGAGGCCUGCGAGGUCCCUGCCAUGCCUGUCUCCUCCUCCCAGCAGUAGUGUGAGCUCUGCUCCGGGAUCAAGGCCAGAUCUUUGCAGCCCAUGUGCUUGGCUCCCUCAGCUGAGCCUCAGGACGUGGGUCCUCAGUUUGUGCUGUGCAGCGUGAGGGGCCACACUGCAGUCAAGCCAGCUGGGUGCAAACAGCAGCUUUUCUUCUACUUGGUGGCCCUCCUUGGGAAGGUCCCUCUGCUCCUGUAACUUCAUUUCCUCAUUGAUAACAAAGAAAAAAACAGAUCAUAUUGCCUGUUGUAAGGAU